rnacentral:ncRNA from 1 species
AAGGUAGACGUUUAUGACAUUUUAAGACAAUGAACCUGUACAAUUGACCACUCUAAAAGGGCUAGAAUUCUAACAUUAUGUUAGGACCUGAGGACCAAGAGAUAGUCUCAGAUAGACAAUUUUUAUGGGGCGUAGGCCUACUAAAAGGUAAUGGAGGCAUGCAAAGAUUUCCUCGGGCCGAACAAAGUUUGUCCCUCGAGUUCAAAGGCAGAAGGGAGCUUGAAUGCAAGACCCACCCAUUGAGCAAGGACAAAAGUCUGCCUUAGUGAUUCAACGGCGCCGAGUAUAAGGCCCGUCGCUCAACUGAUAAAAGUUACUCCUACAGAUAGCAGGUUGAUCUACCCCAAAAGCUCACAUCGAUGGAAAGAUUUAGCACCUCGAUAUCGGCUCUAAGCCACCUAGGGUUGUAAUAUGUUUCAAGGGUUGGGCUGAAAAUCAAGACCGGGCCGCUUUGUGGGACACUAGG